CGGGGAGUAAAACACAUUUGCAAUAAGAAAAAGUUAAACUUCAUUUUUUUUCCAUUUAAAUACAUGGAGGCAAAGGUAAUGUAUAUAUUUUUGUAUUUUCGUUUCUUGCACAUUUUAUGGAACGCAUGAAUUUUGGUUGUGCAACUAAGGGAGUGGAGAUGGCUCUUUUUCCACGGGGGCUAUGAUACAGAAAGCAAUUUCAAAUUGGGAGGUGAACCUGGCUCUAAGACAUCUUAACUUAGGUGGAGGAGAGGAUAGAUUGUUGCCUAACUAUAUUUCACGGGCCAAUGGAAGUGAUGUAUAAUACAUGAGAAAUAAAGAGACUCCAGAGCACGUGAAACAAAACCCACUCCUAAAUAUGAUAAGCUAAUAGCUAAAAUAGAUGUUAAGUUUCUUUGCUUGUCUUAGGGGAAAAAGUUUAUUGUUGAUAAUUGAUUCUAAGAGCAUGAUCAGGUAGCUCAAUUUGAAUCUAUGCAUUUUUACAUGGAUUUCUU
rnacentral:lncRNA from 1 species